rnacentral:rRNA from 1 species
AACGAACGCUGGCGGCAUGCCUAACACAUGCAAGUCGAACGAUCCCUUCGGGGAUAGUGGCGCACGGGUGCGUAACGCGUGGGAACCUGCCCUUAGGUUCGGAAUAACACAGAGAAAUUUGUGCUAAUACCGGAUAAUGUCUUCGGACCAAAGAUUUAUCGCCUUUGGAUGGGCCCGCGUUGGAUUAGCUAGUUGGUGGGGUAAAGGCCUACCAAGGCGACGAUCCAUAGCUGGUCUGAGAGGAUGAUCAGCCACACUGGGACUGAGACACGGCCCAGACUCCUACGGGAGGCAGCAGUGGGGAAUAUUGGACAAUGGGCGAAAGCCUGAUCCAGCAAUGCCGCGUGAGUGAUGAAGGCCUUAGGGUUGUAAAGCUCUUUUACCAGGGAUGAUAAUGACAGUACCUGGAGAAUAAGCUCCGGCUAACUCCGUG